rnacentral:rRNA from 1 species
CCUACGGGAGGCAGCAGUGGGGGAUCUUGCACAAUGGGGGAAACCCUGAUGCAGCGACGCCGCGUGUGGGAAGACGGUCCUCUGGAUUGUAAACCACUGUCCCCAGGGACGAAGAUGACGGUACCUGGGGAGGACGCUCCGGCUAACUACGUGCCAGCAGCCGCGGGAAUACGUAGGGAGCGAGCGUUGUCCGGAAUUACUGGGUGUAAAGGGAGCGUAGGCGGGACUGCAAGUUGGGUGUCAAAUCUACCGGCUCAACCGGUAGCCGCACUCAAAACUGCAGUUCUUGAGUGAAGUAGAGGCAGGCGGAAUUCCUAGUGUAGCGGUGAAAUGCGUAGAUAUUAGGAGGAACACCAGUGGCGAAGGCGGCCUGCUGGGCUUUUACUGACGCGGAGGCUCGAAAGUGUGGGGAGCAAACAGGAUUAGAUACCCGAGUAGUC